rnacentral:rRNA from 1 species
UACGUAGGGUGCAAGCGUUGUCCGGAAUUAUUGGGCGUAAAGAGUUCGUAGGCGGUUACUUAAGUCUGGUGUUAAAGCCCGAUGCUCAACGUCGGCAUGGCAUUGGAAACUGGGUAGCUAGAGUGUGUCAGAGGUUACGGGAAUUCCUGGUGUAGCGGUGAAAUGCGUAGAUAUCAGGAGGAACACCUGUGGCGAAAGCGCGUAACUGGGGCAUAACUGACGCUGAGGAACGAAAGCGUGGGGAGCAAACAGG